UACGUAGGGUGCAAGCGUUAAUCGGAAUUACUGGGCGUAAAGCGUGCGCAGGCGGUGAUGGAAGACAGAUGUGAAAUCCCCGGGCUCAACCCGGGAACUGCGUCCGAUACUGGAAGGCUUGAAUCCGGGAGAGGGAUGCGGAAUUCCAGGUGUAGCGGUGAAAUGCGUAGAUAUCUGGAGGAACACCGGUGGCGAAGGCGGCAUCCUGGACCGGCAUUGACGCUGAGGCGCGAAAGCGUGGGGAGCAAACAGG
rnacentral:rRNA from 1 species